ACGCUCGACACCUACGGGGGGCAGCAGUGGGGAAUAUUGCACAAUGGGGGAAACCCUGAUGCAGCGACGCCGCGUGAAGGAAGAAGUAUCUCGGUAUGUAAACUUCUAUCAGCAGGGAAGAAAGUGACGGUACCUGACUAAGAAGCCCCGGCUAACUACGUGCCAGCAGCCGUCGGUAAUCUGAGCGGGCUGGCAAGGC
rnacentral:rRNA from 1 species